GCGCCUACGGGACGAAGCAGUGAGGAAUAUUGCAUAAUGGGGGGAACCCUGAUGCAGCGACGCCGCGUGAGUGAAGAAGUAUUUCGGUAUGUAAAGCUCUAUCAGCAGGGAAGAAAAUGACGGUACCUGACUAAGAAGCCCCGGCUAACUACGUGCCAGCAGCCGCGGUAAUACGUAGGGGGCAAGCGUUAUCCGGAUUUACUGGGUGUAAAGGGAGCGCAGACGGCUGUGCAAGUCUGGAGUGAAAGGCGGGGGCCCAACCCCCGGACUGCUCUGGAAACUGUAAAGCUGGCGUGCAG
rnacentral:rRNA from 1 species